UGCCGCCCAGGGCCAGUGUUAGGAGUGAGGUACAAGGGACAGGCUACAUCAUCCCUUGGGCCCUUUCCAGUUUUAAUGCUCUGUGGUUACAGCAACCCUGUCCUUCUCUUCUCUGAAGAUCUCAAAAUGCUUACCACCUGUUCCCUUUGGAGCUGCUCUGGGAAGGAGGAGCAGGUGGUUGUGUAAACCUUUGGCAAGUGACUUCACCUCGCUGAGCCUCAGUUUCCUCCUCUGGAAGAUGGGGAUAAAAACAGCAGCCGCCUUAUUGGAUUGUGAGGAGUUGUAACGUUGUUUUAGGUUUCCCAGAGGACGAGGCAAAGCAAAGGAUAUUUAAAGACGCCAAAUCAUAUCUUCUGUGCUCCAAA